UGGGGAAUCUUGGACAAUGGGGGCAACCCUGAUCCAGCCAUGCCGCGUGAGUGAUGAAGGCCUUAGGGUCGUAAAGCUCUUUCGCCUGUGAAGAUAAUGACGGUAGCAGGUAAAGAAACCCCGGCUAACUCCGUGCCAGCAGCCGCGGUAAUACGGAGGGGGUUAGCGUUGUUCGGAAUUACUGGGCGUAAAGCGCACGUAGGCGGACCAGAAAGUUGGGGGUGAAAUCCCGGGGGCUCAACCCCGGAACUGCCUCCAAAACUAUUGGUCUAGAGUUCGAGAGAGGUGAGUGGAAUUCCAAGUGUAGAGGUGAAAUUCGUAGAUAUUUGGAGGAACACCAGUGGCGAAGGCGGCUCACUGGCUCGAUACUGACGCUGAGGUGCGAAAGUGUGGGGAGCAAACAGGAUUAGAUACCCUGGUAGUCCACACCGUAAAACGAUGAAUGCCAGUCGUCGGCAGGCAUGCCUGUCGGUGACGCAGCU
rnacentral:rRNA from 1 species